CGAAUAGCACGGAGCCUCUGGGAAAGUCUUUGAACUACUCUAUUCGACUGAAGAGACAUCCCAAGGAUUCCAAAUAGCAACUACGAACUCCCCUGAAAGCCAUGGACACAACUCUUAUUGGUUGUCUGAUGUGGAACUGUUCCUACAAGCAGAUGUCAAACUUGAGCCCCUCCAGCUGAUCACACCUCAGUUUGAGACUCCCCUUCCCCAGCUAGAGCCUGCUGUAGGUUUCCCCUCUCCAGCUCUACACAAUCUCACCCAGCUCCUGUCUAGCUCAGCCAUCUCACAGAUUGGAUGUGGAUUCUGUACACUCAACUGAGAAUGGUCUUUCUGCCUGUCUUCAGGGACCUGCCUCCCCCCCAUGCUUGACCUGGAUGAAACCUUCUCUUCUGAGAGUGCAUUUGGCACAGCUCUCCAACAAAUGUAAGUGUUAACCCCAGGUUAUAUUUGAAUCGAGCA
rnacentral:lncRNA from 1 species